GAUGAACGUUGGCGGCGUGCCUAACACAUGCAAGUCGAACGGAAAUAGCAAUAUUUGAGUGGCGCACGGGUGAGUAACACGUAGCUAAUCUAACCUCAAAGCGCGGGAUAACGUGUCGAAAGACAGGCUAAUACCGCAUAAGCUCCCGAUCUGUAGAGGAUUGGGAGAAAAGGCGUAAGUCACUUUGAGAUGAGGCUGCGGCCCAUCAGCUAGUUGGUGCGGUAAUGGCGUACCAAGGCGACGACGGGUAGGGGACCUGAGAGGGUGACCCCCCCACACUGGGACUGAGACACGGCCCAGACUCCUACGGGAGGCAGCAGUGAGGAAUAUUGCACAAUGGGCGAAAGCCUGAUGCAGCGACGCCGCGUGGGUGGAAGAAGGUUUUCGGAUCGUAAAACCCUUUUCUUGUGUGACGAGCAAGGACGGGUAGCACAGGGAAUAAGUCUCGGCUAACUACGUG
rnacentral:rRNA from 1 species